rnacentral:rRNA from 1 species
UACGAAGGGGGCUAGCGUUGCUCGGAAUCACUGGGCGUAAAGGGUGCGUAGGCGGGGCUUUAAGUCAGGGGUGAAAUCCUGGAGCUCAACUCCAGAACUGGCCUUGAUACUGAAGAUCUUGAGUUCGGGAGAGGUGAGUGGAACUGCGAGUGUAGAGGUGAAAUUCGUAGAUAUUCGCAAGAACACCAGUGGCGAAGGCGGCUCACUGGCCCGAUACUGACGCUGAGGCACGAAAGCGUGGGGAGCAAACAGG